CUGAACCAGCCAAGUAGCGUGAAGGAUGACUGUCCUAUGGGUUGUAAACUUCUUUUAUAAAGGAAUAAAGUCGGGUAUGUAUACCCGUUUGCAUGUACUUUAUGAAUAAGGAUCGGCUAACUCCGUGCCAGCAGCCGCGGUAAUACGGAGGAUCCGAGCGUUAUCCGGAUUUAUUGGGUUUAAAGGGAGCGUAGAUGGAUGUUUAAGUCAGUUGUGAAAGUUUGCGG
rnacentral:rRNA from 1 species